GACGAACGCUGGCGGCGUGCUUAACACAUGCACGUCGAGCGGAAAGGCCCUUCGGGGUACUCGAGCGGCGAACGGGUGAGUAACACGUGAGUAACCUGCCCCAGACUUUGGGAUAACCCUCGGAAACGGGGGCUAAUACCGGAUACGACACAGCUUCGCAUGGGGUCUGUGUGGAAAGUUUUUCGGUUUGGGAUGGGCUCGCGGCCUAUCAGCUUGUUGGUGGGGUGAUGGCCUACCAAGGCGACGACGGGUAGCCGGCCUGAGAGGGCGACCGGCCACACUGGGACUGAGACACGGCCCAGACUCCUACGGGAGGCAGCAGUGGGGAAUAUUGCACAAUGGGCGGAAGCCUGAUGCAGCGACGCCGCGUGAGGGAUGACGGCCUUCGGGUUGUAAACCUCUUUCAGCAGGGACGAAGCGUAAGUGACGGUACCUGCAGAAGAAGCGCCGGCCAACUACGUG
rnacentral:rRNA from 1 species